rnacentral:lncRNA from 1 species
GUCAAUCAGUGAACAUCCUAGAGUGUACUUACACAAACCUAGAUGGUAUUGCUUACUACCCACUUAGGCUAUAUGGUAUACCCUGUUGCUCCUAUAGCUCCUACAGACCUAUACAACAUGAUACUGUACUGAAUACUGUAGGCAAUUGUGAUACAAUGAUGAGAAAAACCAGGGCUCAGAGCUCAAAGUACGUUUUCCUGAUCACGGAGUCAGCAGCUACGACGAAAGGAAAAGGAAAAUGGAAAAAGACUAUCCAAAGAAUACUGAAGAAGAAUUUUCAGGAGUAAAUGGCCAAAUCGAUGCUGCUGUAGAAUUAAAUGCCGCUGCCUUGUUUUGAGCUGCCCUAUGGAGAGUCUCAGUGGCGAGGAAUUGAGGACAGACUUCUGUACGGACCUGAGGUCAUCAUUCCAACAACACAUGAAGAGCUGAAUCCUGACAACAACUUCAUUGGUAAGCUUGGAAGUGGAUUUUCCCCCAAACAGGCCUUGAGGUGACCACAGCCCUGGCUGACUGCAGCCUUGUGAAAUACCCUGAGACAGAAGACCCAGCUCAGCCACACCUGAACUCCUGACCCACAGAACCUGCUAUAAUAAAUGUUGUUUUGGCUAUUA